rnacentral:lncRNA from 1 species
AUGAGCUUCAUGCUGAGCUGCUGCUCCUGGGUGCUCAGCACCAAAUUGCCACCUGUCAGUCUGGCUUCCUCCUCCUGCAUGAGGGAGUCUCGGUCCUCCCAGAGCGGGGUGGGAAGGCAGAGGGAAGCCAAGCCGAGAAGGCACGCCAGCCUUAUGCCUUGCCCAGAUGGAGGCUUCAUCUUGGAUCUGCACGCAGGGCAGCUCUCCGCUCCUCGCACCCCGCAGUGGGGUUAUCGUCUCUCCGGCGGGGCCCAGACGAGCAGCGGGCUGCGUCCCGGCGAGUCACCGCGUGCACAGUUCCUCUUCCUGUGUGCAGUUUCAGCUCACUCAGCUUUUAUUUAUCCGCGCCCCACCCGCUGUGUCCCUGUGCUUCAUGAAUAUAUAAAGAGGAGGAGGCGGCGGCGGAGGUCAGCGGAAAGCGGGGCGCAGGCGGAGGCAG